rnacentral:tRNA from 1 species
UUAUUUGUAGUGUAAAAAUAUCACGUUAGUUUUUCGUUCUAAAGAUACAAAAUUUUGUCAAGUAAC